GUGGGGAAUAUUGGACAAUGGGCGAAAGCCUGAUCCAGCCAUGCCGCGUGAGUGAUGAAGGCCUUAGGGUUGUAAAGCUCUUUCAGUAGGGAAGAUAAUGACGGUACCUACAGAAGAAGCCCCGGCUAACUUCGUGCCAGCAGCCGCGGUAAUACGAAGGGGGCUAGCGUUGUUCGGAUUUACUGGGCGUAAAGCGCACGUAGGCGGAUCGUUAAGUCGGGGGUGAAAUCCUGGAGCUCAACUCCAGAACUGCCUUCGAUACUGGCGAUCUUGAGUCCGGAAGAGGUGAGUGGAACUCCUAGUGUAGAGGUGGAAUUCGUAGAUAUUAGGAAGAACACCAGUGGCGAAGGCGGCUCACUGGUCCGGUACUGACGCUGAGGUGCGAAAGCGUGGGGAGCAAACAGGAUUAGAUACCCGGGUAGUCC
rnacentral:rRNA from 1 species